GGAUACAUACAUGCCACAAUGGUCUUCUCAAU
rnacentral:piRNA from 1 species